GCAUUGGUGGUUCAGUGGGUAGUAGAAUUCUCGCCUGCCACGCCGGGAGGCCCCGGGUUCGAUUCCCGGCCAAUGCA
rnacentral:tRNA from 1 species